UACUUCCAUGUAUAGUAUUAGAACUUAGGAUAUUAUUAAAAGUAAGAUCUAGCUCAAUUAGCAAAUUAAUAAUAAAACUUCCUUAUACUUUAGUUAUUAAGGGGGCAUCUUAGAGUUUUCAUGCUCUCAAGUACUCACUAAAGGCACUCUACUGUAUCCAAAAAUGAGACGAGCAUUUAUAUACAUAUAACACAUUCAACCAUUCUAACUUAAACACAGCCAUCAAUGACCAUAAUCAGCUAAGAAACUCUUAGCUCUAAUAUUACAAAGACAACAAAAAUAUAAGUAGAGCCCUAAGAAAAUUUGCUAAUCACUGUGCUAUUUAUUGAUUUUAGGCUACAACUGGUCAUUAACUUCAUUCACUCAUUCAUAAAAGUCUAUGCCAGUACUGCCUUGUAAUAAUUCAUGUAUAUAAUUUUAAAGAUGUUACAGAUGUAUGAGGAGGAGCCAAUACUUAAUGCCUCUUUUUCCACUCUUUCCUAGCUAUUGCCUACCAUGGGAGGCAAAGUUGCUACUCUGAUUGGCUAGACAGCAGAACAGGGACCACACUGUGUUUACCAGUGGGUAGGAGCCACUAAUUUCAUAUGUACUUCUAGACAGCAGAGACAUGGAUGAAGCUGCUGUUCCCAAUCAUACAACCAGCAUGGGCAACCAACUGUAUAAACUGGUCAAACGGGACGUGUUUGACUGCACGGAAAUUGGGAUGGUGCUCAACGCCCUUCUUCCGCAUCACUCGAACCAUCUCUUUGCUUCCUGUGAAAAUGGAAAGAAUCAACAGUUAAAUGGUUUGUGAGAUUAAAAAAAAAAAAAAAACCAUUUUCACUGGGAAGUACAGCCCCACUUAAAGAAAUUGCCCUAUACAAAUGCACAAUGGUUAUUCGGGAGAUAAUAAUUUUAAUUACUGAUCUUUCCAGGAAUGAUGAAUAUUUAAAAUGUCUGGCCAGCUCUCUGCUUCAAUUCAUCUAGGAAUGUUAAACAGGAUUCAGCAAAGUAAAUACCUUUUGCCAAUGUCCCAAUAAAAGCAUUUACACUAAACAACAACUAAGAGGUGUAAGACAGGCUAAUGGUCUCUAUCUCUUAAGCUGGGAGUUCCUAUAUUGAAAGGUCUCAGGCUCCACACACCAGCCUGAUUAGAGAGCCUCUGCCUUAGCUUUGCUCAUAUUUACCCUAACAACAGCUCAACUGGAUAGCACCCCUGAUCAUGCGGACUAAGCUCCAACAAAAUGCAUGUAGAUUCUGAUACUGUGGCUGAUAUUUUAUUUUAAAUACAUGAUUAUUCAAAAUGUUAUAGAUGUAUGAAGGGGGAGGCAAUAAUUAAUGUCUCUAUGCUUGCCUUUUUUACUCACCCUUUCCUAACUACCAUCUAGCAAGGGAGAUAAGGUUGCUAAUCUGAUUAGACAGGGCCGUGACCACAAAACUGUGUUAGCACACCAUGUUUAAUGGUGGGCGGGAGCCACUGACUUGAGAGAGGUUGGGAACACAGAUUCUUUUUCUCUUUUUAACUUCCUCUAUGUGGCAAGGCAGGUGACAGACUCAGGGUCUAACUCCUUACGUAGGCCUAGCCUCCUCUCUAUAUCCCGUCCUGCCAGAGCACGUCAGUCCUCCGCCGUAUUCCUGCAGUAUGUAGUACGCCAGAAGGUGGCACUAGUCUGAGAUUCAGAUUUGGGCUCACUGAAGGCCUUCUCUGGCCUUAAGCCUAAACCACAGACACUACUGUUCUCCAUUGGGGAAUUGGGCACUAAGCCACAUAACGAUAAAUGGAUGCCAUGGUUCUUAUUUCCCUACAGUUCCUUGUGUUAGUUUUCGUCAAACACCCUGUGAGGAGGAGAGGUGAGUGUUGCAGACAUGAUGUGGGCAUUCCUGGGACCCUUUAUUUUCACUGGGGAAAAAUAUCUCUAAUUCUAAAGUGUGUACAAUCAGGAAAGUGUAUUAUAAACAGUAUCACAGACAAUGAAUAUUUAAUAAGAGACAGAUAAUUACAUUACCAAAUAUUUAUAAAAAACUUAGAGAAUUAGAAGAAUCAAUAUUAACAUUUUUGAAAUACUAAUACAUUACCUGGAUAAAACCUGGAUUGAGAGUUCUUAAUUUAUUUUUUCCAACUAACAUCCUACUUUGUUUCCCCUAACAGGAAAGAUUAUUCAAGAGACACUGAGAGAAGGGGAGUUUCCGAGUAAGGUGCUGACAUCUUGGUAUUGCAGAGAAGGGUUCUGCCUCCUUCACCAAAAUAUGCCUGAACGCUCAGCAGUGGGUGGCGUCAGGGGAACCAGUGCUUUAAAAUUCUGCAGCACCAGGCCCCGCUCUGCAUUUCUCAUCUAGGUCUCCUAUUCCCGUUAACUGAAGGUCUCCCCAGCACCCAGGGCUACGGGACCAUCCACCAGCAGGUGAUCAACCAGGUCAGGCUUGAGGACAAACUGGUUGGGAACUCUGGACCUAAACCACCUAUGCUCAAGAGUAAGAGAGAAGUUUGUCAUAGGAAGGGCAGCCUGCCAGAAGGAUGCGAUCGUGGUCCUCACACAUGGAUAUCAGGUGCUGCUCCGCACUUCGGGUGCAGCACACAUGAUAAUGAGCCAGUUUUGUUAUGGCAUGUCUGAUAGAAUCGUCAAUGGUCCCACUGACUUCCCCACCUUCAAUGUGAAGGAUUCGGAUAUUCAUCAAGGCGGCAGAUGUAGCCAGAGCCAGGGCAUCAAAUCUGUCUCCGUGAACAAUCAUGAUAUCAGGCUUCAAACGAUUAAGGACAUCUGGCAGCUUCACCAGGGCCAAGCCUACUGACUCUACCAUGGCUGCCUCAUCUUCCCCUCUAACAAUCGUGUGUAGCCUGGUGUUAAUGUCAAAGUCAUCUUGUUCAAUCAUGCGGUAUGUGUUCCUAAAACAGGAGAGAAAUAAAGAUAUGAGAGCAUGUUCUUCAACACAGGACCACAAAAACAUAUGAAAAACCAAUCUAAGAGUAACCCUGAAGGGAGAAAUACUUUAUAAAGUGUAUUUGUUAAAAUAGACAAAUUGAAGAGUAACUUACACACAAAAAUUAAAAAGCACAGAUCAUUAAUGUUCAGAUCCCUUGACUGACUCACACAAAUACCCCUGUAGCUACUACCCAAAUCACGAUAGGACAUAUCCAGCACCUUCAAAGUUGCACUAGUGUCCUGGUCAACACCUAGGCACUCACCUGAGGGAGAAUUGUGUUUAUUAAAACAGAGACCAAAGCUUUUGGUGCUUGACUUUUCUCUUUUUAUAAGUUUUUUAAAAUAUGCUACCUAAUUUUUAAAAAACGUUACUUAUAAAAGCUCAUUUUUUACAAAAAAGAAUAGGCAAUCAGGAUCUCUGACCUGUCACUAUAUUGUAAGUUUUUGAAUGAUGGAAAUUCUCUUCUGAAUUGGUACUGUACCAUUAGGGCAGCAUAAUUCUGAAUGGGGUGUAAAUGUAGGUUUUAUAGUAUUAGGUUGGCUAUAAAAUGCAGUUUCAAGUCUAUUUCAUGCUUUAGUAACAACAGCAAUUCUCAAUGCCUCAAAGUUUCCUGUCUGUUAUGACUAGAGUUUAAAAGAUACGUUUUUUAAAUAAAUAUGUAAUAAUGUAAUCUGUAUAAUUUUUCAAAUCUAUACUUUUAAAUUGGAAAAUACAGAAAUAUUGUCCUCCCUAAACCUACCACUCAGCAAUAUUAGUAUAAUCAUUUUUAUUUCUUUUUUCUAGCCAUUUGAUGCAUGAUAGUCUAACAUGGUAGAGAAUACAUAUAAUUUUAUAAUUUAAUCUAUUUCAUACAGCAUUUUCUCUGAUCAUGAAAGAUUCUUUACAUACAUUUUAUAAUCAUACAUAUGUUCUAACAGCCAUUUUAUAGAUUCCUUGGGAUUUUCCUAAACAAACUACCAUGUUGUCUGUAAACACUGACAAUCUUUAGGUCUUAGUUUCUAUUUUUCGCUUUAUUGCACUGGCUGCUUUGUCUAGUACAAGUUGAAGAGAAGUGGUGAAAGCAAAAACCCUUACCUUGUUCUCAAUCUCAGGUGGAAAACCUAUUUUUAUGUUAGCUAUAGGUUUUUCCACCAAUGGUCUUUACCAGAUUGAGGAACUUCCCUUCUAUUCAAAGUCUAAGAGUUUUUAUCAUAACUGAUUUAAUUUUGUCAAAUGCUUUUUAGACCUCUUUUGAGAUGAUAAGGUAUUCCCCCUUUAUUCUGUUAAUAUGUGAAUAAUACUGAUUUUCAAAUAUUCUAUCAAUCUUGAUUUCCUGAGAUAAACCCACUUAGUUAUGAUGUAUUAUCUGUUUUUUAUAUUGCUGAAUGUGCCUUACCAUUUGCUUAAAAAUUUUAUGUCUAUGGGGACACUUGGGUGGCUCAGUUGGUUGAGCAUCUGACUCUUGAU